rnacentral:lncRNA from 1 species
GGUGACCCGGGAUUGGGGGCUGGAAGAUUAACUGGGGGAAGCCCCGCAGGUGGGCCGGUAACACAGAGAUAGACCGGAUGCUCUGAAUGAGUGCAAUGGAAGGGUGCUCGUGGAGGGCGGGCUCGGGGAUAAGGGUGAAGAGCGAGGAACCCGAGCACGGGGUCUGGGUCAAAUUCUCUCUGGUUAGAGGUGUAGGGCUUUUCAUUCUUAUUUUUCUUUUCUUUCUUUCUUUUCUUUUUCCUUUUUUUUUUGGAGUGAUGCUGAAAUGAAAGCGCCUUUUUCUUCCUUAGGUCACCAGUCAGCUAGAUGCUUCCAGAGUGCAUUCAGUGGAGUCUGAAGCCAGGCACCCACCCCUCCUCCUAGGGUGAAGCUGGGUUUAAUUCACCAAGUGGAUCUUUAUCUUCGGGCCAACUGUUGAGUGUCUGCCCUUUGCCAGCCGUUCUAGGGCGUGUUUGCGUUGUUGAGCUCAUUCAGUCGUGCUGUUUUUAGUAUCCAGAAUUCAAAAUUCUGAAAGCCUGUGGGCGGUACUAUUAUUUUGCUGCUAUAAGAAAUAAUGAGAGGAAGCUCAUUAGAUUGUGUUUACAUGUAGAGGUAGCUUCCUCGUUGCGUUUUAUUUUAAGGUUUUUUACAACGCGUUAAAAGGAGUUUUAAAAAUUCUAUUUUUGUUUGCUCUGUCGACCAACUGUGAGAUGUAGCAUUAGAAGGGAAUGAAUUGCCUUUUCAGAUUUUAAUUACAAAGAUAUUUGGGGACUGCCUUAGGGUGUUUAAAUUUCAUUUUUUUCUGUAAGGAAAUUUAAUGUUUUAGCAUUAAAUGAUCAUUAGUAUGUAAACAAGUGAACUAAGUACAAGAACCCAAUGCCAAAAAUAUGUCAAGUAUUUUGACCUACUUUUUAGCAGUUGUAGUGCAUGUUGUGAUUAGUGGGUGGAAGGGAGUUUUGUAAUAACAAAAAUAAACUUCUGCUAAACUUUAUGUAGACUUAUAAUUAAAUGCUGUAAAUUAUAAAGUCAGAAACUUAGAAGGUGUCAUUGGAAUCUGCUUAAGCUCUAAAAGUUAACAAAUUCCAUUCAUGUUUUUGAAAUAAGAUUUACAAUCUUACAUAUUUGUUAUGGUUCCAGACAUGAAGGGUCAUGAUUUCCUAAGAAGUUCCGCUGGCCAGUCUAGAUUUAACUCCUGUGAAUUUAUAGAUUAAACUAUUACAAUAAUAGUAGUGAGGUGUGUGUGUGUGUGUGUGGGGGGGGGCGGACAAACAGGAGUUAGACCUGGUGACCUGAUUCUGGUAAUAUAGAAAACAGAAAAGGCCAUAUUAAGGGAAUCUAUAAAACAGAUGUGGGGAAUCUAUUUUAAAUAUUUUUCUAUUUUGGAAGAACA